rnacentral:rRNA from 1 species
AGUGAACGCUGGCGGUAGGCCUAACACAUGCAAGUCGAACGGCAGCACAGUAAGAGCUUGCUCUUACGGGUGGCGAGUGGCGGACGGGUGAGGAAUACAUCGGAAUCUACUUUUUCGUGGGGGAUAACGUAGGGAAACUUACGCUAAUACCGCAUACGACCUACGGGUGAAAGCAGGGGAUCUUCGGACCUUGCGCGAUUGAAUGAGCCGAUGUCGGAUUAGCUAGUUGGCGGGGUAAAGGCCCACCAAGGCGACGAUCCGUAGCUGGUCUGAGAGGAUGAUCGGCCACACUGGAACUGAGACACGGUCCAGACUCCUACGGGAGGCAGCAGUGGGGAAUAUUAGGCAAUGGGCGCAAGCCUGAUCCAGCCAUACCGCGUGGGUGAAGAAGGCCUUCGGGUUGUAAAGCCCUUUUGUUGGGAAAGAACAGCAGCAGGUUAAUACCCCGCUGUUCUGACGGUACCCAAUGAAUAAGCACCGGCUAACUUCGUG